GUAUGUGUCCCCCUGGUGGCUGUGUGUCUCUAUGUGUCUCAGUGUGUCUCUAUGUGUCCCUAUGUGUCCCUAUGCAUCUGUAUGUGUCCCUAUGGGUCUCUAUGGGUCUCUAUGUGUCUCUAUGGGUCCCUAUGUGUCCCUAUGUGUCUCCUUGGGGUCCCUAUGGGUCUCUAUGUGUCUCUAUGUGUCUGUAUGUGUCUCUAUGUGUCCCUAUGUGUCUCUAUGUGUCUCUAUGCGUCGCUAUGGGUCUCUGUGGGUCCCUAUGUGUCCCUAUGUGUCCCUAUGUGUCUCUAUGGGUCCCUAUGUGUGUCUAUGUGUCCCUAUGGGGUCCCUAUGUGUCUCUAUGGGUCUCUAUGGGUCUCUAUGUGUCUGUAUGUGUCCCUAUGUGUCUCUAUGGGUCCCUAUGUGUGUCUAUGUGUCACAAUGUGUCCCUAUGUGUCCCUAUGUGUCCCUAUGGGUCCCUAUGUGUCCCUAUGUGUCCCUAUGGGUCCCUAUGGGUCGCUAUGGGUCGCUAUGUGUCCCCAUGUGUCGGUAGGUGUCCCCAUGGGUGGCUGUGUGUCUCUAUGUGUCUCAGUGUGUCUCCAUGUGUCUCUAUGUGUCUCUAUGUGUCCCUACGUGUCUCUAUGUGUCCCUAUGUGUCUCCUUGGGGUCCCUAUGGGUCGCUAUGGGUCCCUAUGUGUCCCUAUGGGUCCCUAUGUGUCUGUAUGUGUCCCUACGUGUCCCUAUGGGUCCCUAUGGGUCUCUGUGUGUCUCUAUGGGUCCCUAUGUGUCCCUAUGUGUCUGUAUGUGUCUGUAUGGCUCUCUAUGUAUCCCUAUGGGUCUCUAUGGGUCUCUAUGGAUCUCUAUGGGUCACAGUGGCUCUCUACGUUUCUCUAUGGUUCUCUAUGUGUCCCUAUGUGUCCCUAUGUGUCCCUAUGGGUCCCUAUGUGUCCCUAUGUGUCUCUAUGGGUCUCUGUGUGUCUCUAUGGGUCCCUAUGUGUCCCUAUGUGUCUCCAUGGCAUCCCUAUGUGUCUCCAUGGCAUCCCUAUGGGUCCCUAUGUGUCGCUAUGUGUCCCUAUGUG
rnacentral:lncRNA from 1 species